CCCAGGGGAGCCCGGGAUCUGGGAUGGGGUUGGGCUCGGGGUCGGGGUUGGGGGCAGGAAGAUGGGGCCAGGGGAGCCCAGGAUCCAGGAAAGGCUCAGGGUCAGGGUCGGGGGCAGGAGGAUGGGGCCCAGGGGGGGCCAGGACGGGCUCCAGGACCUACGAGGACAGUGAGCGCCGCCUGCCUGGCAGCCCGUGAGGGGUCGCCUGUCACCCUGCCGAUCUCCGCCACCUCCCGCAGCCAGAACGCGGGGCCAGGUGCCCGUCGGGGCCUUGGCGGGCUCCUCCCGCAGGUGCAGCCGCAGUUAGCACGGGGGACGCUGACUCAGCGCCAGGUGGAGCCUCCUGGGAGCAGCGGGCAGCUUAGGAACAGCAGAGCUGGGGCUGCCAGGGCCGCAGGGCAGGGGUCACCCGCGGAGCCCCCCAGCCCCGCACGGUCUGCAGGGCUCCCAGCAAGGCCCCCGCCCGGAACAGCAGGCCCACAGGGGAGCGCGCCCAGGUCCCUGACGCGGGUCUCCUUUGAGUCACGCCUGCUUCUCCACGUCCCUGGCUCCGUGGCAGCGCGUGCGCAGGUGUCCCCACUGCCCCCCGCAGCCCACGAGCAGCGAGGGGGUGCAAAGUCUGUGCGAAGUUCUGGCCGUGCUGGGGUUGCCGUGAGGUCAGAGAGGCCUGUACUGAGCCGGGGCAGGGGCCCACCUGCCUGCCCACCGCACCCCCGUCGGUCACUCCUCAGGGUCUCAGAAAUGCGUGUCCAACAGCUACGGUCACUCGUGGGUCAUACGUGGGUCACGGGAGCAGCGCCCUCCUGCACACGAGCGAACAAGCGAGCGAGCAAGGGAGCAGCCGCCUCUCCCCGGGGCUGUGGUCUGGGCUGCGGGAGGGGGCACACGGGGCCCGGACCCUCGGCCUCCUGGUCCGGGUCCAUUUUCCACGUCAGCCACGUCCCCCAGGUCGGGGUCACUUUGCACAGGAAUGCGGGACCCUCGGGGCCGAUGCUGUCUUUAGAGCCCCCCCCUGCCCCGGGAACCCAAAGGAGGCUGAAUGUGACGGGGGGUGGGGGGG
rnacentral:lncRNA from 1 species